rnacentral:rRNA from 1 species
AUGGAGGUGAGCGAGGAGAGGGCACUCCAUGGCGAUGAGCGGCAUGGCCGCGUCGACGAGAGGAGCGUACGGCCCGUUGCAGCCGCCGUGGGGCGUGGUUCCGAAUCGGCGCAGGUCGCCGCCAUGGGAGAGUUUUCCUUUACGAUUAUAGAUGACAUCUUAGCAGGAAAGAAUAUAGUUGUGAAAUUUACUUCAAAUGUCAGAGGCAAGCUUCCUCGUGACGGCGGCGGCGCUGGAUUUGCUCAUGGGUUGGUGCUGUAUCUACCGCUGACCUCCGGCACAGAUACGCUGACCUCCAGCGCCCUGGCCCCUCCGCCCCCAGCCUCACCUUUCCCAUGUCCGCCCUCGCCGAGCACUGAAUCUGCCGGCCGCCAGAGUUAUAGGUUUCUAAAUACUAUGCUCAUGGGACUUAAUUCUAGUGGCAUUCAAGACCUGGCAGGGUUGGGUCAACUGGCCCUUCGUGUUCAAGACCCGGCUCUGAUGAGGUUGAGAGUCGUGCUACCGACUGGGCAUAUCUUCAUCCUGAGCCGUGUCCGGAACCAGACCAGUAGGGGCACCCUGAGGGAGUACUCGAGGCAUGCUGUCAAGUUGGACGAGUGCAACCAGGGCAGCUGCCGUGUGUGUCCAGGGUUCAUACAGUCAAGGUGU